rnacentral:rRNA from 1 species
GGAGGCAGCAGUGGGGAAUUUUCCGCAAUGGGCGAAAGCCUGACGGAGCAAUACCGCGUGAGGGAUGAAGGCCUUUGGGUUGUAAACCUCUUUUAUCAAGGAGGAAGUUCUGACGUGUACUUGAUGAAUAAGCAUCGGCUAACUCCGUGCCAGCAGCCGCGGUAAGACGGAGGAUGCAAGUGUUAUCCGGAAUCACUGGGCGUAAAGCGUCUGUAGGUGGUUUAAAAAGUCCACUGUUAAAUAUUGAAGCUUAACUUCAAAAAUGCCGUGGAAACUUUUAAACUUGAGUAUGAUAGGGGUAGAGGGAAUUUCCAGUGGAGCGGUGAAAUGCGUAGAUAUUGGAAAGACCACCAAUGGCGAAGGCACUCUACUGGGCCAUUACUGACACUGAGAGACGAAAGCUAGGGGAGCGAAUGGGAUUAGAUACGCCAGUAGUC